AACAUGUUUCUAUGACUAUUUUUUUGUUCAAAUACAAACUCUCUCAGUAAGUUUCAUCUAUUUCAGGAACUCCUUUAUUAAGCAACAUACCCUUCAAAAGCAGGAUCAGUUUCCAGUUGGACACCACAGCCAGAAAGCUGUCGGUUUUCAGAAGCAGUUCCAAGGACUUAUUUUUCAAACACCUUUACCAGCAUCUUUCCACUAUUUGAAUGCCUCUACAGUGAUCUGCAUAAGGAUGAAAACAAGUUCUUAAAUCUUGGACUUUACCAACAAUACAUGUGUGGGCUACCAUUUCUCCCAAGGAAAAAGAAAGAUUUGCAGGAAGCAUGACAGUAAGAUGUGUGUGCCUUGUCCAUAAUGCACAGUGCUCUUAUCAGACAAGCCAGAUACCAAUCCUUACAGAAACUGCAAAGUUUUAAAUCCUAACGAUGGAAGCUGCAGCUCGUCUGCUUAGCAGAGAAUAAAGCAAAUGUUCCCCUGUGCUGAU